rnacentral:rRNA from 1 species
GACGAACGCUGGCGGCGUGCUUAACACAUGCAAGUCGAACGGAAAGGCCCUGCUUUUGUGGGGUGCUCGAGUGGCGAACGGGUGAGUAACACGUGAGUAACCUGCCCUUGACUUUGGGAUAACUUCAGGAAACUGGGGCUAAUACCCGAUAGGAGCUCCUGCUGCAUGGGGGGGGUUGGAAAGUGUCGGCGGUUGGGGAUGGACUCGCGGCUUAUCAGCUUGUUGGUGGGGUAGUGGCUUACCAAGGCUUUGACGGGUAGCCGGCCUGAGAGGGUGACCGGCGACAUUGGGACUGAGGUACGGCCCAGACUCCUACGGGAGGCAGCAGGGGGGAGUAUUGCGGAAUGGGGGGAAGCCUGAUGCAGCAGCGCCGCGUGCGGGAUGACGGCCUUCGGGUUGUAAACCGCUUUCGCCUGUGACGAAGAGUGAGUGACGGUAAUGGGUAAAGAAGCACCGGCUAACUACGUG